rnacentral:rRNA from 1 species
GACGAACGCUGGCGGCGUGCUUAACACAUGCAAGUCGAACGAAGUGGCGAACGGGUGAGUAACGCGUAAUCAACCUGCCCUUCAGAGGGGGACAACAGUUGGAAACGACUGCUAAUACCGCAUACUGAAGGCGGGGAUUGCGUCUGAUUAGCUAGUGGGAGGGGUAAGGGCCCACCAAGGCGAUGAUCAGUAGCCGGUCUGAGGGGAUGAACGGGCAAAUGGGGACUUGGACACGGGCCAGAAUCCUACGGGAGGCAGCCGUGGGGAAUUUUCCGCAAUUGACGAAAGGCUGACGGGGCAACGCCGCGGGAGUGAUGACGGCCUUCGGGUUGUAAAGCUCUGUUAAUCGGGACGCGGUACCGGAAUAGAAAGCCACGGCUAACUACGUGCCAGCAGCCGCGGUAAUAC